rnacentral:lncRNA from 1 species
UGCAAAGAACAUGCGCCCUCUAAUUUUCAAAUCCUGCCUCGAAUACGUGUACGUGGAUUCAUAGUACAUUGGAUUAGUAUAUAUACUAAAGGGUUGUGAGUAGACUAGUCUACUAAUGGUGGAGAAAGAGGAGGUAAGAGAAGUAAAGUGAGUUGUAAAUUUACAGUCAGCUCAAACACAAGAACUAAAAAGCUAUGUCAGAGGAGAGAGUAAGCCACAUAUUAAUAUGAUGGUAUGUUUUAGUACUCAACUAUAUAUGUGACCUAAUAGACGGGUUCUACAUAAUACAUAUAUAACCAGCAGAAGUUUGUAUUAUUAGCCAUGCUCUUAAUGAUGUCAGGGGUUGUUUGGUUGCUAGCCACAGUUUGCCACACUUUACCUUAGGCAAGUUUAACCAAGUUGGCAAGUGUUUGGUUGACAACUAAGUUUAGGCAUGAUUCUUUUGGGCUCCACAUGUCAUAGAGUUAAAAAGUGUGGCAAGAUUCCUUUAGGCAUGGCAAAGUGUGGCAACCAAUUUGCUAGCCACACUUUUUGUGGCUUGCCACACUUGCCUAAAGUUAGUUGUGGUAAACUAUAGCUAGCAACCAAACAUCCCCGUACUCUCCUUUUUGUCCGCUGAUAUUGCUUCAAAGCUCUUUUAUUUGUGGAUAUUUGAAUAUU